rnacentral:rRNA from 1 species
UAAGCGGAGGAAAAGAAACUAACAAGGAUUCCCCUAGUAACGGCGAGUGAAGCGGGAAGAGCUCAAAUUUGUAAUCUGGCACUUUCAGUGUCCGAGUUGUAAUCUCGAGAAGUAUUUUCCGCGCCGGACCGCAUACAAGUCUGUUGGAAUACAGCGUCAUAGUGGUGAGAACCCCGUAACUGAUGCGGAUGCCCGGUGCUUUGUGAUAUACUUUCGAAGAGUCGAGUUGUUUGGGAAUGCAGCUCAAAUUGGGUGGUAAAUUCCAUCUAAAGCUAAAUAUUGGAGCAAGACCGAUAGCGAACAAGUACCGUGAGGGAAAGAUGAAAAGCACUUUGGAAAGAGAGUUAACAGUACGUGAAAUUGUUGGAAGGGAAACGCUUGAAGUCAGACUUGCUAUUCGGAGUUCAGCCGCAAGGUGUAUUCUUCGAUUCGCAGGCCAGCAUCAGUUUUCGGGGGUGGAAAAUCACGGUUUGAAGGUAGCAACCUCGGUUGUGUUAUAGCUUUCCGUUGGAUUCAUCCUUGGGGACUGAGGAACGCAGUACGCUUUUUGCAAGGCUCUCGAGCUUUUCGUACUUAGGAUGCUGGUGGAAUGGCUUUAAACGAC